CUGCAGGCUGCCCAUGAAAACAGUGCUGGCAUCUGCCUCUGGGAAGGCCUCGGGAAGCUUCCCAUCAUGGCAAAAGGCAAGGGGAGCCGGCACAUC